rnacentral:rRNA from 1 species
CCUGGCUCAGAUUGAACGCUGGCGGCAUGCCUUACACAUGCAAGUCGAACGGUAACAGCACUUCGGUGGCUGACGAGUGGCGGACGGGUGAGUAAUACAUCGGAACGUGCCCGAUCGUGGGGGAUAACUACUCGAAAGAGUGGCUAAUACCGCAUACGAUCUACGGAUGAAAGCGGGGGAUCGCAAGACCUCGCGCGGACGGAGCGGCCGAUGGCAGAUUAGGUAGUUGGUGGGAUAAAAGCUUACCAAGCCGACGAUCUGUAGCUGGUCUGAGAGGACGACCAGCCACACUGGGACUGAGACACGGCCCAGACUCCUACGGGAGGCAGCAGUGGGGAAUUUUGGACAAUGGGGGAAACCCUGAUCCAGCCAUGCCGCGUGCAGGAUGAAGGCCUUCGGGUUGUAAACUGCUUUUGUACGGAACGAAAAGACUCUUUCUAAUACAGAGGGUCCAUGACGGUACCGUAAGAAUAAGCACCGGCUAA